UCUUUCCGUAGUUUGGCUAUUGUGGACAUGGCUGCUAUAAACAUUGGGGUGCACAUCAUGGCUUCUUCUUCAUAUUUUUCCCAAAUUGGUGCAAUGAAACUUCAUCUACAUGGUUAAUCAAACUUGAAACAUGGAAGACACCCUUAACUUCUUCAUCCACCUUACUCACCACCUAUAUUCAAAUGUCCAGUCUUAAAACUUCUACCCAUCUGGAAGAUCCUUGACUUGUCUGUGGAGAUCCUUGACUUACAUUUCAAGCGAACCACUUGUGCCUUAGUCGGGACCACAGUCUACUGAAAUAACACAAAGGAGAUCCCAGUACCUUCUCAACCAUCCAGUUGGAAAGUUUUUCCUUGUGUGGAGCCAGAAAACUGUUUCAAGCUUUCAACCGUUUGUUCCUAGUCUUGUCCCUUGGUGAUAUAAGAUCAGGACGGUCAUAAUUAAGAGAACCCAUUGCAAUCAGGGUUCUUCUAUAGGUCAUAGUCAAUGGCUGUUUGGUGACCAGAACAUAGCAGGGGGCCAGUCCUGGAGGAGAGCAGCCUAGUAAAGCCCACUGAAGCCCCAGCAGCCUGAGAAGAUUAUCCAUCCUGGGCAGAGUGUGCGCCAUGACGUCCAUCAGAAACUGAACUGAGCUGAGGAGAGUUCUGACGUGGAGAGGAUGCCCUGGCACAGGGUGUCCGAUCCCGAGCAGGGUGAGGUGGGCGUGUGCAAGCAAGAGGUUACCAUUGCACCGGACACCUGGACACACGUGAAGAGAUGGAUCAAGUAUAUGAAUCUGUCAAGGAUAAAGGAGCCGGGUUUCUCAGUAUUGGGUAAGGGAAUUGCAAAUAUAGAAAGGGGAAACGCUAGAACACUAGAACGAACCUUAGCAUAUUGGAAUUGGAACUAGAAUUAGUGGUAUAACCUGUGGUUUUUUCAAUAUGUGUAGAUAGACAUAGAAUU